AUACUUACCUGGACGGGGUCAAUGAGCGAUCAUGAAGGCUCAUGGCCUAGGUUGGUGACCUUCAUUGCACUUAGAAGGGGUGCCAGCUUAAGGUCUCCCCAAGUGGGAGAGCCUACGUCAUAAUUUAUUGCACUGGGGGCUUGCGUUCGCGCAGCCCCUGC
rnacentral:snRNA from 1 species